AGAUUUUACUGUGCACUCUGGCGACCCCUGCCUGCUGCAUGAUGCUACAUGCUACAUGAUGCUACAAAACCAACCAGUGAAAGCUGGAGAAGCAGACGCAAAAUGAGAGGAAACUAUACCGAGGCAAACUCAGCUAGGAUGCGAGGGAUCGUUGUUGGGAUAAAUGAUCAUCUGUUAACAGCAUUGAUAAAUUAAGUUGGUCGUGAGCGGGUGGAACAGCGACCAUGUUGCGGUUGUAGCGGUAAAUGUUUGUAUUGUUCAUGCUGCUUAUUUUGCACAAUGAGUACUUAGUUUUGUCUGUGUCUACUUACACGUACAAAUAAAGUACAUAUAUUUUAAAUUUUACAUAA